UACGGAGGGAGCUAGCGUUGUUCGGAAUUACUGGGCGUAAAGCGCGCGUAGGCGGCUUUGUAAGUUAGAGGUGAAAGCCCGGGGCUCAACCCCGGAAUUGCCUUUAAGACUGCAUCGCUUGAAUCCGGGAGAGGUGAGUGGAAUUCCGAGUGUAGAGGUGAAAUUCGUAGAUAUUCGGAAGAACACCAGUGGCGAAGGCGGCUCACUGGACUGGUAUUGACGCUGAGGUGCGAAAGCGUGGGGGAGCAAAACAGGG
rnacentral:rRNA from 1 species